AAUGAACGCUGGCGGCAUGGAUUAGGCAUGCAAGUCGAACGUACUCCCUUCGGGGAGAAAGUGGCGAAAGGGUGAGUAACACGUGAGCAGCCUGCCUCCGGAUCCGGAAUAAUCCAGGGAAACUUGGUCUAAAACCGGAUGAAGACAUUGGUCCGCAUGGUCUGGUGUUAAAAUAUUUAUAGUCCGGAGAGGGGCUCGCGGCCCAUUAGCUUGUUGGCGGGGUAAUGGCCCACCAAGGCUAUGACGGGUAGGUGGUCUGAGAGGAUGGUCACCCACACUGGGACUGAGACACUGCCCAGACUCCUACGGGAGGCUGCAGUCGAGAAUCUUCCGCAAUGGGCGCAAGCCUGACGGAGCGAUGCCGCGUGAGGGAUGAAGGCCUUCGGGUUGUAAACCUCUGUCAUCCGGGACGAAAACAAUGACGGUACCGGAAAAGGAAGCCACGGCUAACCACGUGCCAGCCGCCGCGGUAA
rnacentral:rRNA from 1 species